ACAUAUCUAAGCAUUUUUGAGAGCUGCAAGCAUCCAUGUCAAUACUUUAUGCUUACAUAAACUAAAUAAUCAGUUCAAAUCACUGUUAUUUGGACUUAGUCCAGUUCAACAAAUAGGUGUUACCUUUGACUUAAGAUGAAUGUUUUUAUUAAGGAUUUCUUUAGCUUAUGUCAUUAUGAAUUCUUUUAGGUAUCCUAAUUUUUUGUAUCUUUUUAUCCCUAUUGGCAAAGGGCUCCUUGUGAAAACUGGUAACUAUCCUUUAGUCCUUUCUACUUUGGGUGUACUUAUUUCUUUUCUUUGGAUGACUAUUUCUUUUUUUUUAAUUCUCAUCCAGGAGUGAAGACAUUUUUUUCCAUUGGUUUUUAGAGAGAGUAGAAGGGAGAAGGGAGGGAUGAGAGAGGGGGGAGAGAGAAAUACUGACAUGUGAGACACAUUAAUUUGUUGCCUCCUACUUGCACCCUGACCAGGAAUCAAACCCACAGUCCUUUGGACUGCAGGCCGAUGCUCUAACCACUGAGCAACUAUUUCAUUUCAUUUUUACAGUCCUAAAUAGUCUUAUUUUAGUUUAUUUCAAAAUAAGUGCAAAUGUCUUAAUAUUGACCUCUAUGACCAUUUUUGCUAUUUUACUAAUUUCGUUUCUUCUAAAUAGAAUGUACCUAUUUGCUACUACUCAAAAGUCUUACAUCCAUCCUUUUAAGCCUGUCUCUAUUUUGCAGAUUCUAGGAGGCCAUUUCUUCCACCAACAUUGCAACAUAUUAUUCUAUCCUGUACUUAAUAUAUGUAUUUUACAUUUUUUUUUAAAAGAAGCAAGUUUGCUUAUAUAUUUAAAUUCAAUCUUAGUUUUCUAACAAUUUCAUCAACAACAUUAUGCUCUAGCAAAUUUUAAAAGGUUCCUCUUUUCUGAUGUAGCAAAGUAUACUAACAAUUUAGUAAAAUUUAAAUACACAUGUAAAUUGGUUAUUUUGAAGAACGAAAACUAAAAAUAAAAUUUGUUGUCUCUUUUAAUUAUGUUCUGUUAUGCAGAUAGUUAUUUAACCAAGUUCUCAAAAGAAUUAUAUUUGAGAAAUAGUGAUACCUGAGAGUAAACACUAGGCAAAUAAUGUCAUAAAGCUUUACUUUUCUUUCUGUUUUGCUGAUUAUUGAUGACUUCUGAACUUUUUAGAAAAUUUAAAAAUUCAUUUUAAAUUU